UUCGCAUUUUCCAAGACCACCCUGGCUCUCCACGCCCCCAUUCUGGGCCUAUAAAAACCCAAGACCCUUGCAGGCAGAUACACAAGUGGCUGGACGUCCUAAUGAACAACACAUCAGGGGAAGAAGACACAAGCGCUGGUCAUCCAUAGGAGCACCCCAGCAGAAGGACACGCUGACAGGCACCCGGAAGCCAGUAGGCCGUGGACCAGCGGGAGGAGGCGGGGAUUGGCCUGGGCAGGCAGGGGACAGCCGGGGCUGCCGAGCACCGCAACUCCAGGGGAAAACCAUCUCCCUUCUGGCUGCCCCAUGAGCGGAGAGCUACUUCCACUCAAUAAAACUUUGCACUCAUUCUCCAACCCUAUGUGUGAUCCGAUUCUUCAGGUACAACAAGGCAAGAACCCAGAUACAGAAAGCCCUCUGUCCUUGCCACAACGUAGAGGGCCUAAUUGAGCUGGUUAACACGAGCCGCUUAUAGAUGGCAAACUAAGAGAGUAUCCUGUAACAUGCCCACUGGGGCUUCAGGAGCUGUAAACAUUCACCCCUAGAACCUGCCCUGGGGUAGGAGUCCCACAGCCUGCCCGUCUGUAUGCUCCCCUAGAGGUCUGAGCAGCGGGGCACUGAAGAAGCCAGCUAUGCCCCCAUCGCGAGCCCCGCGAGGGGGAGGAGGGAGCCUUUGCCUUUUCAACUGGAGACAUCGACCGGGAUCCUGGAAGGUUAAAUACUUCAACAAUGAUUAUUAAAGAAAAGAUAUUUCAUUAUGAUAUUUUUGCAAGUUUUCUUCCAUUUGCUUUCAAGAUUGCAUUGUCACAAAUUAUGACAUUUGUCAUCUUUCUGUAAAAGAGUCUUCAUGAGGAAAAGUGAAAGCCUAUGUUUUGAAGCAGGGAUAAAGAAGAUAGUCCUAAAUUUACUGAACUAUAGGCCAUUGACAUGAAGCUCAUAGAAAUUCCUGAGAAGGACCUGUGGGGAGAUAUAAUCAACUAUCUGAUGAACAUAUAACUGUAAAUGUUAGAGUUGGAUAGUUAACUGCAGAAUAUUUUGCCUAUUAUAUUUUGCUCCAUAUCAACGUUUAAAUUCUGGGAUCUCAAGC
rnacentral:lncRNA from 1 species